rnacentral:tRNA from 1 species
GCCUGGGUGGCUCAGUUGGUAGACCGUCUGACUUCCACUCAGAUCAUGCUCUCACGGUUUGUGAGUUCAAGCCUUGCAUCAGGCU